GAGUUCCGAUAGCGAACAAGUACCGUGAGGGAAAGUUGAAAAGUACUUUGAAGAGAGAGUAAACAGUGCGUGAAACCGCUCAUAGGUAAACGGGUGGAGUUGAACUGCAAGCUUUGAGAAUUCAGCUGAAUGAGCAUGUUUUGAGCUGGGUCAAUUUGGUGAACAUCUGGAGUCUGCUGUAUGCAGGUGCUCAUUUUCGGGUGGGCAUGUGUGAAACAUUUAUCAUGUGUUGCACGCUUCGGUUGUUCUUCGGCCAGCUCGUCAGUGCACUUUCUCAGAGUGGUCACCACGACCGACAUAAUUUCCUAACGAACACAGUUAAACCGGGCUUACAUUGUCCAUGUGGCUUUGUUUGUUCGGGAUGGCAGGUAGCUCGUUGACUUUCUCUGUGGCUUGCUGCAGUCGAGUCUCUGAGUGUAAUAAGCUGACUGUGCUAGAUUUGUGUAUUAUGUCGGAGACGGCGGCUUGAGGUGUGUGCAUGCGUAUUCGUUUGCUGACUUAUCCGGGUUUGGUUAUUUAGUUGCCUGUAAAAGCAGGCCUGGUGAUGGCCCGGGUAUGUUCGGUGGAUGCUUGCGUGUGUGUCACUGUUACAAGGGCCAACAGUCUGUGGUGUAGUGGUAGACUUUCCACCCGACCCGUCUUGAAACACGGACCAAGGAGAGUAACAUGUACGCGAGUCAUUGGGCGUUACGAAACCCAAAGGCGCAGUGAAAGUAAAGAUCUGACUUGUUCAGGUUGAGGUGAGAUCCUGUCGUUUCUUACGCAUGGUACUACCUAGCAUCGAGCGGCAGGCGCAUCACCGGCCCGUCCCAUGACAGUUGUCUUCGGACAGUUCUCGGUCGAGGCGGAGCAUGAGCGUACAUGUUGAGACCCGAAAGAUGGUGAACUAUGCUUGCGCAGGUUGAAGCCAGAGGAAACUCUGGUGGAGGACCGCAGCGAUUCUGACGUGCAAAUCGAUCGUCAAACGUGAGUAUAGGGCGAAAGACUAAUCG
rnacentral:rRNA from 1 species